UACCAGCACCCCGAGUGGUCGGGACGUUUAUUGGGCCUAAAGCAUCCGUAGCCGGUUCUACAAGUCUUCCGUUAAAUCCAACUGCUUAACAGGUGGGCUGCGGAAGAUACUAUAGAGCUAGGAGGCGGGAGAGGCAAGCGGUACUCGAUGGGUAGGGGUAAAAUCCGUUGAUCCAUUGAAGACCACCAGUGGCGAAGGCGGCUUGCCAGAACGCGCUCGACGGUGAGGGAUGAAACCUGGGGGAGCAAACCGG
rnacentral:rRNA from 1 species